rnacentral:rRNA from 1 species
GGCUCAGAUUGAACGCUGGCGGCAUGCCUUACACAUGCAAGUCGAACGGCAGCACGGGGCAACCUGGUGGCGAGUGGCGAACGGGUGAGUAAUGCAUCGGAACGUGCCAUUGAUGGGGGAUAACGUAGCGAAAGUUGCGCUAAUACCGCAUAUUCUGUGAGCAGGAAAGCAGGGGACCGCAAGGCCUUGCGCUCUUUGAGCGGCCGAUGUCAGAUUAGCUAGUUGGUGAGGUAACGGCUUACCAAGGCGACGAUCUGUAGCGGGUCUGAGAGGAUGAUCCGCCACACUGGAACUGAGACACGGUCCAGACUCCUACGGGAGGCAGCAGUGGGGAAUUUUGGACAAUGGGCGCAAGCCUGAUCCAGCCAUGCCGCGUGAGUGAAGAAGGCCUUCGGGUUGUAAAGCUCUUUCGGCCGGGAAGAAAUCGCAUGGGUUAAUACCCUGUGUGGAUGACGGUACCGGAAUAAGAAGCACCGGCUAACUACGUG